rnacentral:rRNA from 1 species
UACGUAGGGACCGAGCGUUGUCCGGAUUCAUUGGGCGUAAAGAGCUCGUAGGCGGCUGCUCAAGUCGAAUGUGAAAACUCGAGGCUCAACCUCGAGCCUGCAGUCGAUACGGGCUAGCUAGAGUGUGGUAGGGGAGAUCGGAAUUCCUGGUGUAGCGGUGAAAUGCGCAGAUAUCAGGAGGAACACCGGUGGCGAAGGCGGAUCUCUGGGCCAUUACUGACGCUGAGGAGCGAAAGCGUGGGGAGCGAACAGG